rnacentral:tRNA from 1 species
UCGGGGUGUGGCUCAGCUUGGCUAGAGCGCCUGGUUUGGGACCAGGAGGUCGCAGGUUCGAAUCCUGUCACCCCGAUCCA